rnacentral:piRNA from 1 species
UAGCUCAUACUUGGUGUUGUACUGAUUGA